rnacentral:rRNA from 1 species
CUCGCUUUGGUCAAACGCGCAGAUAUUAACGACGCGCAGUUCCUAUAGCGUGACAGCAGUUUACAACCCUAAGGCCUUCAUCCUGCACGCGGUGUCGCUCCGUCAGGCUUUCGCCCAUUGCGGAAGAUUCUCG